UAGGGAAUCUUCGGCAAUGGACGGAAGUCUGACCGAGCAACGCCGCGUGAGUGAAGAAGGUUUUCGGAUCGUAAAACUCUGUUGUUAGAGAAGAACAAGGAUGAGAGUAGAAUGUUCAUCCCUUGACGGUAUCUAACCAGAAAGCCACGGCUAACUACGUGCCAGCAGCCGCGGUAAUACGUAGGUGGCAAGCGUUGUCCGGAUUUAUUGGGCGUAAAGCGAGCGCAGGCGGUUUCUUAAGUCUGAUGUGAAAGCCCCCGGCUCAACCGGGGAGGGUCAUUGGAAACUGGGAAACUUGAGUGCAGAAGAGGAGAGUGGAAUUCCAUGUGUAGCGGUGAAAUGCGUAGAUAUAUGGAGGAACACCAGUGGUGAAGGCGGCUCUCUGGUCUGUAACUGACGCUGAGGCUCGAAAGCGUGGGGAGCAAACAGG
rnacentral:rRNA from 1 species